AUUGAACGCUGGCGGCAGGCCUAACACAUGCAAGUCGAACGGUAACAGGAAGACGCUUGCUUCUUUGCUGCCGAGUGGCGGACGGGUGAGUAAUGUCUGGGAAACUGCCUGAUGGAGGGGGAUAACUACUGGAAACGGUAGCUAAUACCGCAUAACGUCGCAAGACCAAAGAGGGGGACCUUCGGGCCUCUUGCCAUCGGAUGUGCCCAGAUGGGAUUAGCUAGUAGGUGGGGUAACGGCUCACCUAGGCGACGAUCCCUAGCUGGUCUGAGAGGAUGACCAGCCACACUGGAACUGAGACACGGUCCAGACUCCUACGGGAGGCAGCAGUGGGGAAUAUUGCACAAUGGGCGCAAGCCUGAUGCAGCCAUGCCGCGUGUAUGAAGAAGGUCUUCGGGUUGUAAAGUACUUUCAGCGGGGAGGAAGGGAGUAAAGUUAAUACCUUUGCUCAUUGACGUUACCCGCAGAAGAAGCACCGGCUAACUCCGUG
rnacentral:rRNA from 1 species